rnacentral:rRNA from 1 species
AUUGAACGCUGGCGGCAGGCCUAACACAUGCAAGUCGAACGAGUGGCGGACGGGUGAGUAAUGUUUGGGAAACUGCCUGAUGGCGGGGGAUAACUACUGGAAACGGUAGCUAAUACCGCAUACCAUCAGAUGUGCCCAGAUGUGAUUGGCUAGUAGGUGGGGUAACGGCCCACCUAGGCGACGAUCCCUAGCUGGUCUGCGAGGAUGACCAGCAACACUGGGACUGAGACACGGACCAGACUCCUACGGGAGGCAGCAGUGGGGAAUAUUGCACAAUGGGAGCAAGCCUGAUGCAGCCAUGCAGCGUGUAUGAAGAAGGCCUUCGGGUUGUAAAGUACUUUCAGCGGGGAGGCGUUACCCGCAGAAGAAGCACCGGCUAACUCCGUGCCAGCCGGCGCGGUAAUAC